AAUAACUUUCCUCAGUAUUGUACUAAUUAUCACCAAAGGAACUCCCCCUCUCAUGUGCAUCAUCAUUAUGCCGAAGAAAACGUGCCUUCUGUAAUGAGGCGGAGUUUCUCGUGCCCAUUUCGUUCUUUAUGGCAAGUAAUCCGCCACUCCAAAAUCUCCCAUCACAUCAACAACUUAAAAGUUUCAAGAAAUACAAGAUUCAAGUAGACGAAGGAUAAUUAAACGGUUAAUCAUUCAAUUGGGACGUAGCAAAGUUAUUUGUGUCGUGUAACAUCCCUUUAAAUAUUCUGGAUCAUUCCAAUUUCUCCAAGUUUAUAGAAAAAUAUACUGGAAAAACUUCUCCAGGUCGAUGGGUAGUUAAAAACUUGGUUGUGGAAGUAUGUCAAGGAGUUUUGAAUAAAAUAAAAGAAGAGCUGGAAGAAAGGAAUAUUUUCGUUGCACUAGAUGAGACAAGAGAUCAUCAAGGGAGGUCAAUGACGGCAAUUUUGUUUGGCCAUUUAGACGGACAUUUCUGUGGAAGACCAUACCUUAGUGACUUGAUUGAUAUUGAGAUUGCUAACACAAACAAUGUAAAGAACAUCGUCAUAAGCUCAGUUUAUAAGUUAUUGUUGAUCACAAAAUGGAAUUAAUGUUUUGUUGUCAUUUAAUUGUCAACACAUUUCGUGCCAAAGUUAUCUAUUCAUCCUUUAUGGUCAGUGGUCACUAA
rnacentral:lncRNA from 1 species